rnacentral:rRNA from 1 species
UACGAAGGGUGCAAGCGUUACUCGGAAUUACUGGGCGUAAAGCGUGCGUAGGUGGUCUGUUAAGUCUGAUGUGAAAGCCCUGGGCUCAACCUGGGAACUGCAUUGGAUACUGGCAGUCUGGAGUGCGGUAGAGGGUAGCGGAAUUCCCGGUGUAGCAGUGAAAUGCGUAGAUAUCGGGAGGAACAUCCGUGGCGAAGGCAGCUACCUGGACCAGCACUGACACUGAGGCACGAAAGCGUGGGGAGCAAACAGG